CGGGGGGAGCAAGCGUUGUUCGGAUUUACUGGGCGUAAAGGGCGCGUAGGCGGCCAGCGCAAGUCAGUUGUGAAAUCUACCGGGCUUAACUCGGAAAGGUCAACUGAUACUGCGCGGUUAGAGUGCAGAAGGGGCAACUGGAAUUCUCGGUGUAGCGGUGAAAUGCGUAGAUAUCGAGAGGAACACCUGCGGCGAAGGCGGGUUGCUGGGCUGACACUGACGCUGAUGCGCGAAAGCCAGGGGAGCGAACGGGAUUAGAUACCCCGGUAGUCCUGGCCUUUAAACGAUGGAAUGCUUGGUGUCUGGAGUUUAGUAGUCUCCCGGGUGCCGUAGCUAACGCGUUAAGCAUCCCGCCUGGGGAGUACGGUCGCAAGACUG
rnacentral:rRNA from 1 species